AUUGAACGCUGGCGGCAUGCCUUACACAUGCAAGUCGAACGGCAGCGGGGGAGAAGCUUGCUUUUCCUGCCGGCGAGUGGCGAACGGGUGAGUAAUACAUCGGAACGUGCCCUGUAGUGGGGGAUAACUAGUCGAAAGAUUAGCUAAUACCGCAUACGACCUGAGGGUGAAAGUGGGGGACCGCAAGGCCUCAUGCUAUAGGAGCGGCCGAUGUCUGAUUAGCUAGUUGGUGGGGUAAAGGCCUACCAAGGCGACGAUCAGUAGCUGGUCUGGGGAGACGAUCAUCCACACUGUGACUGAGACACGGCCCAGACUCCUACGGGAGGCGGCAGUGGGGAAUUUUGGACAAUGGGCGAAAGCCUGAUCCAGCAAUGCCGCGUGUGUGAAGAAGGCCUUCGGGUUGUAAAGCACUUUUGUCCGGAAAGAAAUGGCUCUGGUUAAUACCUGGGGUCGAUGACGGUACCGGAAGAAUAAGGACCGGCUAACUACGCGCCAGCCGCCGCCGUAA
rnacentral:rRNA from 1 species